rnacentral:tRNA from 1 species
UAAUUUUUAGUGUGGAGGCACAUUGAACUUUGAUUUCAAAAGGGAUGGAUCAAACCAUUAAAAUUAG